ACUCCUACGGGAGGCAGCAGUGAGGAAUAUUGCUCAAUGGGCGAAAGCCUGAAGCAGCAACGCCGCGUGCGCGAUGAAGGCCUUCGGGUCGUAAAGCGCUUUUGAGAGGGACGAGAUAGGACGGUACCUCUUGAAUAAGUCACGGCUAACUACGUACCAGCAGCCGCGGUAAU
rnacentral:rRNA from 1 species